AAGUCGUAACAAGGUUUCCGUAGGUGAACCUGCGGAAGGAUCAUUACAGAGUUCAUGCCCUAACGGGUAGAUCUCCCACCCUUGAAUACUAUACCUUAGUUGCUUUGGCAGGCCGUGGAAACACCACGGGCUCCGGCCUGUGCGUGCCUGCCAGAGGAAACAAACUCUGUUUUUAGUGAUGUCUGAGUACUAUAUAAUAGUUAAAACUUUCAACAACGGAUCUCUUGGUUCUGGCAUCGAUGAAGAACGCAGCGAAAUGCGAUAAGUAAUGUGAAUUGCAGAAUUCAGUGAAUCAUCGAAUCUUUGAACGCACAUUGCGCCCUGUGGUAUUCCGCAGGGCAUGCCUGUUCGAGCGUCAUUUCAACCAAUCAAGCCUAGGCUUGGUCUUGGGGUAUACGGGUCUCCGUAGCCUCUAAAAUCAGUGGCGGUGCUGGUUAGCUCUGAGCGUAGUAAUACUCCUCGCUAUAGAGUCUAGGUAGUGUCUUGCCAACAACCCCCCAUUUUUUCAGGUUGACCUCGGAUCAGGUAGGGAUACCCGCUGAACUUAAGCAUAUCAAUAAGCGGAGGAAAAGAAACCAACAGGGAUUACCUCAGUAACGGCGAGUGAAGCGGUAACAGCUCAAAUUUGAAAUCUGCCAACAGGCCGAGUUGUAAUUUGUAGAAGAUGCUUUGGGUAUGGCCCCGGUCUAAGUUCGUUGGAACACGACGUCAUAGAGGGUGAGAAUCCCGUAUGUGACUGGGUGCUUUUGCCUAUGUAAAGCUCUUUCGACGAGUCGAGUUGUUUGGGAAUGCAGCUCAAAAUGGGUGGUAUAUUUCAUCUAAAGCUAAAUAUUGGCCAGAGACCGAUAGCGCACAAGUAGAGUGAUCGAAAGAUGAAAAGCACUUUGGAAAGAGAGUUAAACAGUACGUGAAAUUGUUGAAAGGGAAGCGCUUGCAACCAGACUUGCACGCUGUCGAUCAUCCAGGCUUCUGUCUGGUGCACUCGGCAGUGUUCAGGCCAGCAUCGGUUUCGGUGGUGGGAUAAAGGCCUUGGGAAUGUAGCUUCUUUCGGGGAGUGUUAUAGCCCUCGGUGCAAUGCCGCCUACCGGGACCGAGGACCGCGCUUCGGCUAGGAUGCUGGCGUAAUGGUUGUAAGCGACC
rnacentral:rRNA from 1 species